CAUCUAAAAGGUCUGCAAAGUUACAAAGUCCAAUUUACUCUCCCCCACAGAAACACUGCUCCUGAACUACCAGACACGCCUCGCUUGAAGACCCGCCUUUUCUCUUUGUAACGUGGUGAUGUCACAAAGUAACACAUUUGCACAAUAGAGUGCUCCAGGAAUGAGUCCUAAAACCUGGAAAUGAGUUAGUAUUUUAGCACAUACGGUUCACUU